AGCUUUGUGCAGUGACAAUAUUGUAGCCAAUGAAAUUUAUUCAAGGUGUGAUUAUUGCUCAUUGAAAAUGUUUCCCAAAUUUUUAUUAAAUGCAUGAAUAAGUGAAUGAAUGCAAUCUGGUGGGUUACCUUACCUGGACCAG